rnacentral:rRNA from 1 species
UGCUUCCUACGGGAGGCAGCAGUGGGGAAUAUUGCACAAUGGGGGAAACCCUGAUGCAGCAACGCCGCGUGAAGGAAGAAGGCUUUCGGGUUGUAAACUUCUUUUAAGGGGGAAGAGCAGAAGACGGUACCCCUUGAAUAAGCCACGGCUAACUACGUGCCAGCAGCCGCGGUAAUACGUAGGUGGCAAGCGUUGUCCGGAUUUACUGGGUGUAAAGGGCGUGCAGCCGGAGGGACAAGUCAGAUGUGAAAUCCACGGGCUCAACCCGUGAACUGCAUUUGAAACUGUUUCCCUUGAGUGUCGGG